AACUGAUACUACCUGCGGGAACCUGCGGAAGGAUCAUUACCGAGUUAGGGUUCCUCUCACGGGCCCGACCUCCCAACCCUGUGUCUAUCACACCUUGUCGUUGCUUCGGUGGACCGGUUCGGGGACUUUUGUUUCUGGCCGCCGGGGGUGUUUUUCACCCCGGGAGAGCGUCCGCCGAUGGCCCAACCACAACUUCUUUGUUCUAAACCUGUCGUCUAAAUCAAACUUGAUAAUAAUCAA
rnacentral:misc_RNA from 1 species